rnacentral:lncRNA from 1 species
GGAUCUUCUCUUUUAUGUUUACACACACACACACACUAUCCUUUCUUAAAUUCUUGAAAAGCACUUCUUUUUUUUUUUUUUGAUGGUAAAAAAAGAUAGACAAAUUGCAAAUUGGUCAAAUUUCGUUUCUCUGAGGACCGUCCUGUUUCCUUCACAUUGUGACUGUUCUUGGGCACUGAAUGUCCCCAGUUGGCAUCUCCUGCAUAGUGUCUGAGGCUUAAAGACUACAGCUGAAAAGCUGAUGCCAUCCCUACUGUAGGUGCCUUAGAUAUCAGCCAAUCAAGGGAGGGAGUGUGGUGUAGAAGCAUCCCCGCCCAGACCCAUUCAUUCCCUCCAUGCACAGGCAGUGCCAACGCUGCCCAGAGAGGUGGUUUAAAGGAACAUACGCAUGCUCGGUGCAUGCCACGGACUCUGCUUUGCUGCUGGCUCUUCUCGGCAUUUUAUGUGUAGCGCGAGCCCGUACUGAGUAUUUGUGUUUGCUCGAUAUCAGACUGUAUGGUUGGGAAGGAAGUGUGCUUCUUUUCAGCUUCAGAGUUAGUCACUGGUGAGACAAAUGCUCGUGGGGAGGGUGGUGAGGACAGACACAGACAGACAGACCGACCAGCUAUGCAGAAAUGCUUGGCAAAAGACAGUAAGAGCAGAUACAGUGAUAAGAUCCAAGCAUGAAGUGAGUGUGAAGAUUGGCAAAGAGCAGAGACCCAACCUCAGCCAGCUAUGAUGAGACUGAGAACACAUGAUUAACACCCAUUCAGGGACAGGAUGCGGGUAUAGAGCAGCUCCAGGGCCUCCAAACAUUGCUGAGCCACAGUGUGCUUCUUUCUUAGUGCACAUAGCAUCCAUCCCGUUGCCAUGGCAACUCCAAUACGAUCCUAUCAGUGGUCCUCCUCCUAGUCCUCCCAUGACUGCUGACUACCCCGAGAUGGUUUGGUUUUUGACUCCUCUUUGAGGCAGGAAACUAAGAGGUGACUAGCCAAAUGUUGAUACCUGGCUCUAGUCAAUUUUGACGUUUUUUCAGGAAAGCAAUAUUCUGGAAAGUUCAAACCAUGGCUGUAGACACAGAUCCAUUUCCCUUAAAACUCGAGUGGGGCUAGUUGCAAGGUUGACAUACCUCGCUCAAUGGAUAAUCAGGCCUCUCUAGAUGCCUGAGUUGGUGGAUCCUAACUUGCAGUGUUUACAGUUGUGGACCAAGGAUAGCUUCAGCAGGCCGUUGGGAGCCCAGAUUCACAGGCCUCAGGAAGUUUGAAAAAUUACUCCGUGCGUGUCCACUUUUUCCUCCUUAGGACAUUCUAUCCCAGUUUUCUUCUAUAAAUAAGGGAAGUGCAGACUCGGAGAGAGUGUUGGGUACAGCUGGUUCACUGACUGAAGGUUGUGUUUUAAAGGGACCUGCCAUUUUGACGACAGCAGUGAGGCUGAUGUGGAAGCCGCUUCUGACCCGUUUCUUUGCCCAUUCGUGGGCUCCACAGGCCCUGUGUAUCUACAGGGGAAUCUGUACAGCCCAGAUCCAUUUGAAGUUUAUCUUCCAGUUGCAGCUCUGACCCGAGGACCGCUUUAAUGGAUCACUGUGAGUCCAGCUACGUGAAGCAGGACCGCUUCUCCUGUGCUCGUCCCUCAGAGGAACCCUGUGAACGGAGCCUCAAGAGCAUCCCAUGGCCACAUUCCAGAAAGCUCACCGACUCCACAUAUCCUCCGAAUGAGGGACACACAGUUCAGACUCUGUGUCUAAACAAGUCCUCCGUGGAUUUCAGUACAGGGCCGGAACCAGGAUCGGCUACUUCAAGUAACUCAUUCAUGGGUACGUUUGUCAACCUGACUUCUCAGACUCAAAGCAUUGGUCAGUAGUUUCAUUCCUGAUGUCGCCGUGAGAUCCUGUGAGUUCUAAAUCCUCUGCGCUUCUGAAAUACACUUGGGUGGGAAUUGUGUGUGGUUAUGGUUUUCAUCUGUACCUAAGCCCAGGAGCUUUCUGGAUGGUGCUGUGUGUGGUGUGUAGGAGACGAGAGUUUGGAGAGAUGACUUAGUAGCUGAGCUUGUCAGCCGUGUGGAAAAAGUGGUUUUGGGUCCCGGCAGCCUGACGGGUGGAGCUGUAUACUCUGCGUGGUUGUGGUUUUCAGAUGUCUCGUGGCUUCUGACUGAACUCACAGUGGAGGCCGGGGAAAGCAACAUCCUACCUAGCCUAGCUUCAGACAAGCAAGACAACCUUCAGCUGAGGAGGCCUGUGGUGCCCGCGGCACAAGCCAGCGCAUUCAGACAGCAGCUAGCACUGUGGGUAGAGUGUGAAUUUUUUGGUCUCAUGUGUGGAAACCGUUGGAGGGAAGAACAGAGAAUGGAUGCUCUUUUUAUGGAGUGAAGCAAUCAGGGGAGAAAAAAAAAACAAGCCUCAACCUGCCGUGGCGUGUUUUUGUGUUCUUGGUUUGUUUUUAAAGGAGAAUUCCAAACGAUUCUACUUGAGUGUUUACCCUUUGUCCCAGUAUGAUUGUUUAUAUACCUCCCUGAAGGCAAGAAAAUGGAAGUAUGUUUUGUAUAACUAGGGAAGAAAUUCUAGUUAAUUGAAUGAUUUUUUUGCUGCAGUUGAAGAAAAGGCAGGACCCAAAUCUUGAAAGAAGGCCUGCUGUAUUCAGGCAGAACGGCUUCCCUACCGUGCAGUCCUCCUUCAGGGAGAAUCAUGGGCUAUGGGCUCACACAUCCUCAAGCCAAGGCCUUGGCAGACUUCAGGAACUUCGUUGUUCGGUGAUGAGUGUUCCUAAGAGUUGUGAGCAAAGAUUAAAAUGGACGCAUUUAUUUGAUGGUCUAAAUAAGCGGGUGUGCAGUGCUGUGUUCUGUAAAUAGUCUGUUCUCAGGGAGGACCGACACUGCACAGGCAUUUACAGACAAGCUUCCCGUGUCCCUUUCAGGGUUCGUUCGGGUGCUAGCAGGAGUACCCAGGCGCUCAUGGGGUCUCUUUUCUUUCAGGAACCUUCGGAAAACCUCUGAGGAGACCACACCUGGAUGCCUUUUCAAGCUCCGCACAACCGCCAGACUGUCAGCCAAGGCCCUGUCACGGGAAAUCGCUUUCCUCGCCAGAGCUGGACUCUGAAUCAGAAGAAAAUGACAAAGAAAGGACAGAUUUUCGGGAAGAGAAUCACAGGUGUACUUAUCAACAGAUAUUCCACACUUACAGGACUCCAGAUUGCCAGCCUUGUGAUUCAGACACAUAGACCAGAAGGGACCAAGAAAAAGCUUCCACACGCUACCUCAGCUGGGCUUCUAUUUAAAGGAGACAGAAUCCUAGGUUUUUAAACAGACUUACAAAGUUUAAAAAGGAAAAAAAAAAAGAUGCUUUAUUUAUAUAGAUGAACCAAAAUUACAAAACGUUAUAAAAAUUUUAUACCGGGAAUAACUUUCAUAUAAAAAAAUACGUCUUUAAAAGUAUUUUAUAACUUUGUUUUAUAUGAAAAUAGCUUAUGUAAAUUAAUGGUAUGAGUCCAUGACUAUUUUAUGUAUUUUUAUAAAACCAGAUUUCUUUUUAUGG